rnacentral:rRNA from 1 species
UUGACGGGGCCCGCACAAGCGGUGGAGUAUGUGGUUUAAUUCGAUGCAACGCGAAGAACCUUACCUGGUCUUGACAUCCCGGAGACCCUUAGGAAACUAGGGGGUGCUUCCAUCUGGAAGAAUCUGGAGACAGGUGCUGCAUGGCUGUCGUCAGCUCGUGUCGUGAGAUGUUGGGUUAAGUCCCGCAACGAGCGCAACCCUUGCCUUUAGUUGCCAGCAGUUCGGCUGGGCACUCUAAAGGGACUGCCGGUGUUAAACCGGAGGAAGGUGGGGAUGACGUCAAAUCCUCAUGGCCUUUAUGACCAGGGCUACACACGUACUACAAUGGCCGAUACAAAGGGCAGCGACACUGCGAGGUGAAGCCAAUCCCGUAAAAUCGGUCUCAGUCCGGAUUGGAGUCUGCAACUCGACUCCAUGAAGUUGGAAUCGCUAGUAAUCGUGGAUCAGCAUGCCACGGUGAAUACGUUCCCGGGCCUU